AGAUUUUAUUAGAGAUGAUUUUUGCUCAGUGUUUAUAAAUAGCCGCAGUAAUUUGACUGUGCAAAGGUAGCAUAAUCAUUUGCCUUAUAAUUGAGGGCUUGUAUGAAUGGGAUUACGAAAAUUUAGCUGUCUUUUAUUUAUUUAUAUAAUUUGUAUUUAGUGUGAAGAUACAUUAAUUUUUUAGUGGGACAAGAAGACCCUUUUGAGCUUUAUUCUUUAGUUUUUUUUUUGUUAGCAUAGAAUUUGGUUGGGGCGAUCUAGGAAGAAAAUGUGUGAUCUUCCUUUUGUUUUUAGAGAUCCAUUUUUAUUGGUUUAUAGAUUUAGUUACCAAAGGGAUAACAGCGUAAUUUUUUUUGAGAGUUCUUAUUAAAAAAAAAGAUUGCGACCUCGAUGUUGACUUAUAGUUCCCUUUUGGUGCAGUAGCUAAUAGGGUAGGUCUGUUCGACCUUUAAUGCUUU
rnacentral:rRNA from 1 species